rnacentral:tRNA from 1 species
GGGGAUUUAGCUCAGUGGUAGAGAGCGCUUGCCUAGCAAGCACAAGGCCCUGAGUUCAGUCCCCA